rnacentral:rRNA from 37 species
GUGAUUCAUGACUGGGGUGAAGUCGUAACAAGGUAACCGUAGGGGAACCUGCGGUUGGAUCACCUCCUUA